AAAUCGGCAACUCCGGAGCAAGUGGAGUGAACAAACACCUUCCGCUGAGCUGAUAGCCUACUAGGAGGAAUGUCAACCUGUCAAUCGGGACCUGCGGGCAUGAAACGCAACGUCCCCAAGCAUAAGGGACGUCAUAUGUUGAGUAUUCCCUUAUGUUUUAUUCUUGUUAUCUCAUGACAUGUUUUUUGACUCAUUUACUCAUGAUAGUAUGAUAAGAAAGAUAUGUUACAUUGGUACUCGGUUGAGUAAGGCACCGGGUGCCCGUCGUGGCCCCUUCGGUUUGGGUUGUGACAAAAGUGAACAUUUUUGUAAACAAAUCCAAAGCACCACUUUCCUAUGGAGUGUAUACAAUAUUGUAGUGAGACUUUUGUUACAAGAUCAUUUACUCUUUAGCUCACUAUGCUUAAGUGGAAACCUUCUACCUUAUUUUCUCAGCUAGUCUUUCGUUGUAGUACUUAGGGAGACCUUCUGGCUCUUGUAAAGUUACGAGCUUGUUAUAUUGUACACCCGAAGGAAAUUUUCAUUGUUUUUACUCGCCUAUAAUAAUCCUUAGUUACGUAACUUCGUGCCCUUGUGCUCGUAGGGUUACUUCUAAGCUCAAAUUUUGAUUGUCUCCUUAGUGGCACUCUCUCUUAUUUUCAUAAAACUUAAACGAUACCUUUAACUGCCUCAACUCCUAUUUGAAUAUUUUUAUAGAUGAUUGCGAUCUCGUAUCUGCGAGACUGAAUUCCCUAUGCUGCGGUUUACUACAUUUAUCUUGCAUGAUCUAUUGAUUUAUCUGUGACCUCUUGUCUAGCCAUAACUAGGCUCUUCCCGAAUCAACUACUAACUACUCGUUGGUCUAUUCUCAUAUCUAUAUUCUGCAUAAUCUCUCUUGGGUUAUUUUCUUUGUCUUAACUUAUCACUCGUACUGGCUCCUUAUAUAUCAAGUGUUCAUUCACACUUAUUUAUCAAUAACAUCUGGUGUGGGAACCCUUACUACCUCUCCCCGGCGGUGUGCUUGCAUAAUGUUCUAGAGUUGUAACAUAUCUGUAGGGUCUGAAUAAAUGCAAUCUCAUUUCUUUCGUCUUUCUACCACAUUCUUCCUUUAUUAUUCCAUAGUUACCUGAACCAGUAACUCCGACUUACUACCAUAUCAUACCAUAUUCCCCCCUUUAGGGGAGUACUAAAAUUUAGUACUACGAUGAUCUACCUAUAGAUGUUUUACCUCUUCAUCUUUGGCGUCUUUUCACAUCAUCAAUGAACCUUAAUCGCCUUAUGGUAACCUUCUGUACCAGGGAUAACUAAAUUUCUUACGCACGAAGGUGACACUCAGUGUAACUGGCACACUUAGUCCCUUAAGAUUAACUCUGCUCAGAGUGCUUUCUUUAGGUAAGUGACUUCCUAAUGACCUUUAAAGGGUAUUCAUUUGUUGUAUAUUCUAUUAUUGUUGGAACACGAUCUCUGAAAUUCUCAUGAUGUCGACCAUUAUCAAAUCCUCCGGUCCCUAAUUCAUGUUCGGUUUUAUCUUGUUUACUAGACCAUACUAAUUUUUGUUACUACAAGGGGUCUAACUUAGCCUUUUGGUAAUCGCGUUGGACUCACCAACUCAUUUCUCGAAAUGAGUAUAUGACCUUUGGCCUAUACUCUAUUAUUGUCUCAAGGCCUGUCACCUCUUGUCUUUUCCUUCACUUGACUAUAGACUCUAUCAUCGUGUCAUAUUUUGAUUUACCGUUAUCACCCAUUUAUCACAUCUUACUCAUAAUACUUUGUUUACUCUCUCCUUAUUCUCCUGCUAAUAUUUCUGUUUAUCACCUUAUUUUGAAAGCUUCAACAAAACAUUCUUUCGCUUUUAGCUCCAUUUGCUCCAUCCACUGGCUCUUCAGGUCGCCUAGCAUUCUCUCUUUACUAGGAACGGGAGCCAUACGAAGGUAAAUAUCUAUCCCUUCUAGGGUUCCAGUGCCAAUCUUUGAAAUUUUUCUAGACAUUCUAGUAUUCAUAUCUAAAUGUACUAUUCUAGAUUGCACCAUCGGGGUGUCUCACAAGGAGAACUAUUACCACAUUUGCAAUAUCCUUCGGAAAUGUUAGCUAAUGAUAAUAAUCCAUCUACCAUUUUGGGUUACUCUAGCCCCAAUUGGAUCUUGCUAUCCUCUUCUUCUCUUAAACUAUAUCUAUCAACUCCCAUAGGGCAUACUGAGAUGGGCGUGGCCAAUUGUACAUACCUCUGUUACUGUUGAAAGUAACUCAAAAUACAUGUAUUUCUCUGCCUGAAUUGUAAAAACUCAAAACCUUCACUAACUGGUACCUCGUAACCUUUACCACAUUUUCUUUUACUUGUUAAAACUUGUAUCUACCUUCUGAUUCUCUUUUUGCUUUUUAAACCAUAUGGGUGGAUAGAUAUUCAUCCCUUUGGCCUCAAGAAACUUCCGCGUCUUAGAUACAUAUAAUCUACUGAAGACCUUACAUUUAAUCAUCAUAAACAUGAUGCAAAAUCGAGUUUCAUUGACUCAACUCUUCCAUAUCAACAUUUAAUCUCUUACCAACUAUCUGUUUGGAUGAGGUAUCAUUGUGUUACGAAUAAAAUAGAAUUUAGAAGUUUAAAUUCUUACAAUUGAGCUCUACCGCACGAUUUAGAGUAAGAAGAAAGAGUGACAGUCCUAAAUUUUUUGCAGCCUCCUGCUUAUGUGUGAUGCACUAUACACCCAUAAACAAGACUCUACUAGACACGUCUUGUAAACUCUCUAGGACAGAACUGCUUUGUAAAUCAUCAAGUAUUUAUAAUGUCAUGCAUAUGCAUAUAAAUGUCAUGUAAUGCAUAGGUCUGUACGUACAUAAUAUCAUCAAGCUUCUGAAGGCAUCCCAUUAUAUCAUCUCGGGCAUUGUGGGCAAAUUAUCAACGUAUACCAACUGAUCAGGUGGUGGUGUGUAUAUAACGCCAUCUGAUCAUGGGUCAAUAUACAUGAAUGCAAUGCAUGAGAAGUACGUCAAUCAAAUCUCUUGGAGUGUCAUAAGACCAUUAUGCCUUUGAAUAAUAUCAUGAAGUAAACCUUUUCAACUUACGUAUUUAUCUAAGACCCAUGAACAAAUGAUAAAUUAAUAUGACACAUGGAGAAUCAAGAACAUAAGCAUCUCUAACGUGUACAGAGGAUACCGACCUUAUGUCACUCUGAAAUGUUGAUGUUACAUCCCAUGUUUUCGUACGUGAGAGUACAUCGUAAUCCAAUUGAUGUAAGCUCGGAAAUGAGAUCGUUUUUUAACGUACAUAACGUACGUUCAUCAUGUUAUCUUGGAGGUUACAAAUCUUUAAGAUCAUGAAUAACAAGUACCAAAAGGGUUGGAAAGCUUAGACGCUAAACGAAUUGAAGAAAAUAAGUUUCGUCGAAAGUCGACAAGUUUGGAAUGUUAUAACAUAUACUUUUGAGGUGAGAAUAGGGUGAUUAACAUAAUGAGGAGGUNNNNNNNNNNNNNNGUUGGCAAAGGUCAUCACAAGUUGCAUUCGUAAUGUGCUGAAAUUUAGGUCAAAUGUAGCUGCAUUUUUCUCCCAAUUACUUGGAAUCAAGGGAGGAUCUAUAUAUCAAAUUGAAGAUCUACGAGUCUAGUUUCUAACGCAUUAAACCGUUUGUCGAUACGACAUUGGACUAGAGAGAUAUUUGCAUUUUCGCGAGAUUACGCCAAGCAGCUCUCUAUGGGGCCCACAUAGGCGGUUUAAGACAUAUGGAUAUAUAUAAGAUGCCUCAACCCCGUUUUAAGUCAUUAUUUUCAGUAUAUUCAGACCUUAGAACCCUAGAAACACUCUCUCAAGGUUCUCUCAUGAUCCAAGACCCAAACAAAGGGCAAACAACACAAAUCAAGUGUCGGGAAUCCCGUGGCGCUAGUAAGUUUCUUGUUCUUCUUGUUGUUGCUGAUUUUUGGGUGGUUCUAGCUCGUGUGGGAGGUUCUUUUAAGUGGUUUAUGUUCUGUAAAAUACUCCCCCAUGGUUUUCAUAUCAACCCUAGGUUAUUUAAAGUCUUGAAAUAUGGUGUAAUCCAUUUGCAAGACUUGAAAUAACCUAGGGUUGAUAUAAAAAUCAUGGGAGAGUAUUUUACAGAACAUAAACCACUUAAAACAACCUCCCACACGAGCUGGAACCAUCCAAAAAUCAGCAACAAGAAGAAGAACAAGAAACUUACUAGCGCCACGGGAUUCCCGACACUUGAUUUGUGUUGUUUGCCCUUUGUUUGGGUUUGGAUCAUGAGAGAACCUUGAGAGAGUGUUUCUAGGAUUCUAAGGUCUAAAUAUACUGAAAAUAAUGACUUAAAACGGGGUUAAGGCAUCUUACAUAUAUUCCAUGUGUCUUAAAACGCCUAUGUGGGCCCCAUAAAGAGCUGCUUGGCGCAGUCACAGAGGCGUAUGUUUUUAAAAUUUUAUGUGUAUAUAUGUAUUAUGUAUUUCAUGUCAGUAGCCCCUAGAGGCACUCAGAUGUUACAUGUUGUAUCUCCUUAAUCUCUCAUUUACGUUGUAGUUCUUGUUUAUGCUUUCCUGCCUUACAUAUUCGGUACUUUAUUCGUACUGACGUCCCUUUUGCCUGGGAACGCUGUGUUUCAUGCCCGCAGGUCCCGAUAGACAGGUUGACAUUCCUCCUAGUAGGCUAUCAGCUCAGCGGAAGGUGUUGCACUCCACUUGCUCCAAAGUUGCCUAUUUGGUCAGUAUGCUUUGGAUAUGUAUUGAUUGGUAUGGUGUUGCCCUGGCCCGACCUUUAUGAUUUUAUGUACUCUUAGAUGCUUGUAGACAGACGUCAGGUGUAUGGAUACUUGUAUGGCCUUGUCGGCCUAUGUUUUGAGUUUACAAAUGGUUAUGUUUUCCUUAUAGGCCCGUAUGUCACAUGUAUAAGUUUGUAUAUCAUGAUGGAUUGUCAUAUGUUGAGUAUGCCCUUAUGUUUUAUUCUUUGUUAUCUCAUGACGUAUUUUCUGGCUCAUUUACCCAUGAUAGUAUGAUAAUAAAGAUAUGUUAUGUUGGUACUCGGUUGAGUAAGGCACCGGGUGCCCGUCGCGGCCCCUUCGAUUUGGGUCGUGACAAAAGUGGACAACACACCAUAUAACGACAACAAGUCACAACUACUUCACGACGAGCGGCAAACUUCGAUUGGAAUCCGUCCAUAUCACCCUUUAUAGACUUCUUAUAUUAGCUUAAGAGCAUCAUUAACAUGAUAAUGAAUUAGUUCAUUAAUGAUUCCACCCUUAUACCAUAUAUUUAUAACAAAGGAAACAAUCGACAACUCCAACUAUCUUCAAUUAGAAACUUUAUUCACUAGUUCAUGUCUAGUUCAACCAUUUAAGUUUUUCGACAUGGCUGCUUAAGGUCAUUAACUUUUAUUCGAGGGCAUUUUCGUCAUUUAAGAUAUCUCCUUAUAUACGUGUCGCAAAAUAUUUCCGCAAACCCUACGUGUAUUUGAUUUCAUUAUAGCUGUCUGACAACUUCACUUUUUCCAAUACCUUUACGUGUAUUUGAUAUCAUUACAGCUGUUUGACAAAUUAACUUUUUCCUAUAUUUUUUUUGUACUUACAAUUCAAAGAGUACACCUUUUGUUUCCACCGUCUUCUUCCUGUUUUUGUUCUUGCUCUCCACAUCUGUUUGUGUUCUUGCUGCAAGUAUGUUUCUUCUUCAAUUAAUUCUGCACAUAUCUUCUUCUUUUUCCUUAAUUCUUUUUUUUUGGGUUUUCUCCAUCCUUUUUAGUUUUGCUAUCCAAUGACUGUAGAAUCCAUUCAUCUUCAACCUCAAACUUCAUGUUUUGUAUCUCGCUUUAUCUCCCCCCCCCACUAGAAGCUUCAGCCACUUGGAACGAUUUCCCAUUGUUGAUCUUCUUUUUUCUAAAGCCUAAAUGCUUCUCUAUCUCAGUCCGAUACUGACACUGAUCUGGUUGAUAAGCCUAAUUAAGAAGAAGAAAAUUUUGGGUAAAACGUCACAUUGCUUAGUUUGGAGUUCUUUAUCUUCUUUAGUUCUGUUCCAAUGUUCCUUUCUUCAAUUUCAUCGCCCCUCUUCUGCUCUUUCAUGGCUCUCUCACGGUAAACUAUUACUGAUUUUGUUUAUCUGUAAUGCUAAGUUAGAUGGUGAAAAAUAGAUAGUAUUAAACUGGAAACAGUUGUGUCGAAGAAUCUUGUAGCAUUAUACUUGGGUACUAUAAGCUGGGUGGAUCCAUGACAUUUAGUGCCGUAAAAUUAUCUCCAUGUAGUAGUUCUUGUAAAGAUCUGCUUGCAAUCUGAACAGGCUAAGAAGCAGAACUGCUAGUUCUCAUUUGGUAGUGCGAGUUCAGCUUCUAGCAAUUAAAAAUUCAGAGGAAUACAUAUAAAUUUUAUUGUUCUUACAUAUAAAUUUUUAUUGUUCUUACCGGAGGUUGCUUCUGGAUAUUGCCAAUUGGUAUGAUCUCUUCCUGGAAAAGGAACACUCAUAAGAGAGCCUAUUGGAGUUGUACUCCUUGCCGUGUAUACUGCUCAUGAGUUGUGUUCAUUAACAGUAUCUUGUAUACUGCUCAUGAGUUGUAUUCAUUGUUAAUCCUGUCGCGUAAAGAUAGAAAGUAUAUGUUGUUACUUUGAUGGUAAUAAUUUUAUAUAUGUAUUUAUAAUUGUAUACCAUCAAAAAGUGAUAUUCUAAUUGUCUAACAUGUUUCAGAUAGAAGCAAUGAGUCUCUCAUGACAGGAGUACUCAGUUCGCUUAAGACAUUAGCCGCCUCCGAGGAUGAUGCAUUAGCGGAGUUGGUAAUAAUUGAGCUGGCAACAAGAUGAUGUCUGUUUGAUUCAGCUUUGUUUUCUCCUACUCGCGCUAAGAGAACCCUUUUAUUAGCUUGCAUCUUUCUAUAUAGGCAGAAUACAUAGUUUACCCCCAGAACUAUGGACCAAAUCCCUGUGACACACCUUUUGGGAACAAAAAUUACCUUACACACUCAACAUUUCCAAAGUGUAUCUAAUACACACUACUUUUACACUCGUGAUUUACACGCACAAGAGGCGAGUGAAGAGUUAACAUGUUGUAUCUAAAUCGUCAUCUGGAAACUAUUUGUGCAGGUUUUUCAUUUUUCAUUUUUUUAUUUUCUAAAAAGAUUUCAUCAAUUCUUUUCCAGGUACCAGAUUUUCCCCCCAAGAUCUAAAGGGGAACGAGAAAAUACAAAGAACUAGAGUUUCCAUAUUUGAACACCAAUAUAUUUUGGUUAUGACUCGCGAUUCAAAUCUCCAAAUUGACAAUUGUUUUUGAGAUUGGGUGUUUUUCAGAUUUAGAUUUUGAUUAGCUUCUUGAAAUAAUAAGGAAGGUGAUUUAAUCCCAGAAUGAUUGCUCUUUUUCCAGUUUUGAUAAACUAGAUACAGAAUAAUCCCAAUCGGGUUUUAUUUUUUUCUCUCUAACAACUUUGAUAUGCAGUCCUUUUUCCGAAGUCUUAUUUAUAUAUGGCAAUGACGAAGACCUUGUCUAUGAUCUCAUGAACUGGAAGAGACAUCACCAGUUUUCAAAAUUAUAGCACAGACAAAUCUGAGUUUUAUAAUUAAAUGGGUGGAAUGUUGAACACGACAAAAAAUUAGAGAGUAAUAGUGAAUUUAAACUGUCGGGGUAUUGAAUGGGGCAAAGAAAAUGAAGAUUAGCGGGGAAUUUAUGCGGUUGGGGUGGUGGGUCUUAAAUGUGGUAGGAUGAGGUAGUGGUAUUUUUUUUCUUUUUGCAUCAGUGUUUCGCUUUGGAGAGUUAGCAGUCAUGGUGGUAUAGCUUGGGGAAGAUGAAGAAGAUGGAAGAAUAUUUUGGCAAUUAGGAUAUAAUUAUAAUUUCAAGUAUUUUUUAUUUUUUACAAAAGGUUAAUCACACGUGCCACAUUAUUAUUAGUGUGUGAUUACACUUGCUGAGAAAAAAGUGGCCAAACACUAAAGAAGUGUGUCUUAGACACACUCGGAAAAGGUUGAGUAUGUAAGGUAAUUUUUGUUCCCAAAAGGUGUGUCACAGGGAUUUGGUCCAUAGUUCCGGGGGUAAACUAUGUAUUCCGCCUUCUAUAUAAUUUGCGCCGCCUAGCAUUUUUGACAGCAUGUACUUUUUCAAAGUUUUGACUGGUUUUAUGAUUUUUAUUCUAUAUUAUACCAUAAAAUUAAAGAACCCAAAUAAAUAAUAUCUAUACAUAAUAAUGAAAAUCAGAAAAUGAAAUAGCCUCACUACUUUCUCAAGGUAAGGUAAAGGAUAAGGUCUGUAUACAUACUAUCCUCCUUAGACGGCACAUGUGGGGUUAACUUAGGUUUGUUGUUAAUCAAAGUCAGAAAAUAUUAAUUGAUUAGAAGAGAAGUACUUACCACACCCUAAAAUGCUUCACAAAUAAUAGACAAUUUCACAGUGGAAAGCAAAAGCUGCAGUAAUAAUGAAAAUAAAACACAAUAAAACAACAAAGUAUAAGACAACUCCAAUCAAAAUGGAAAAAAAUGAAAAUUCACACCAAUUUAAACGCUUGUGGCAGUGACGCAUGCGACGACUAAAUAACUAUCAACUUGAUCAUUGUUAUCUUUAUGCUGAAAAAGAUGAAACAAUUGUUUCUUUAGCAUUUGAAAAAAAAAACUUUUUUUUUUCUUCUGAAAUUCAAAUCUUUAGCAAGAAGCCUAAAGCAAAUGAAAUUACUACCAUAACAUUCUCCAAUUUAGCACACAACAGCCAUAAAAUUACAAAAUCACAAAGUAUUAAGAAACAAAGAAAGCCAGCAAAAUCAGGGAGUAUGAAAGAACCCAAAAGACUACGAAAAAGGCAAAAAUGAUUAGGAGAAAACAGAAUAAUAUUUGGGGAAAAAAUCCGGAGAACAACAGUGGAAGGGAAUUGAAGAAGAUGAAGUGAACAACUCCAAAACUUUAUUAAGAGCUAUGAAGCAAUACCCACUUUUUUCUUCUUCUUAAUUAAGCUUAACACCUAGAUCAUUAUCACAAUCGGGCUGAGAUAGAGAAGCAUUUAGGCCUUGGAAAAGAGCAAAUCAGCAAUGGAAAAUUAUUGCAUGCGGCUGAAGCUUAUCGAAAAUGGAUAAUAGCAGAGGCAAAGAGAGAUUCUACAGCCAUUGAAUAGCGAAAUUAAGAAGGAAGUAGAGAACUCGAAAGAAAAAAUACCUAUAGCUUGAGCAGAGACACCCUUGAGAGAGAGAACGCAAAUAGGAAGAAUACCAGUAGAAAUUAAAAGAUCGCUCUCUGAAACAUACUGAGAAACAAAGGACAAGGGUAAUAUCUCAUCCUUAGAUGACACCUGUAUACCUGCAGAGAGCACAAAAGCACACGAAUAGAGCUGAUGAGAAAUGAUUGAAAUGCCCUCAAGCUUUUAAAAAGACACUAAGUGGACAUAUCGAAAAUCUUUUUCUUCUAAUAUAUAGAAAAAUAUGAACCCUUUUAUUUAAGCCAUAACUUUACGAAUAUCAUGUUUUAACAAAUUCUUUAUCAAUUUCAUGCCUACGUACUGUAUGGGUCCAAAUUUGACCGACCACGACCGAUGACGAGUACGACGAUUGAUGGGGUAUUCUCGAAUUGACGCCCUGAGGGAGACGACUCUGAGACAAACCA
rnacentral:lncRNA from 1 species